CUAAGUUUGAUGGCGACCGGCGCACGGGUGAGUAACACGUAUCCAACCUGCCGAUGACUCGGGGAUAGCCUUUCGAAAGAAAGAUUAAUACCCGAGGUGGCAUAGUUCUUCCGCAUGGUAGAACUAUUAAAGGAUUUCGGUCAUCGAUGGGGAUGCGUUCCAUUAGGUUGUUGGCGGGGUAACGGCCCACCAAGCCUUCGAUGGAUAGGGGUUCUGAGAGGAAGGUCCCCCACAUUGGAACUGAGACACGGUCCAAACUCCUACGGGAGGCAGCAUG
rnacentral:rRNA from 1 species